rnacentral:rRNA from 1 species
AAGGCCGGCAAUAAAGGGUGAUAGCCCCGUAUCUGAAACGGUAAGUGUUGUGAACUCGAAGAGUAGGGCGGGACACGUGUUAUCCUGUCUGAAUAUGGGAGGACCAUCCUCCAAGGCUAAAUACUCCUGACUGACCGAUAGUGAACCAGUACCGUGAGGGAAAGGCGAAAAGAACCCCGGCGAGAGGAAUGAAAUAGAACCUGAAACCGUGUACGUACAAGCAGUGGGAGCACCCGAAAGGGUGUGACUGCGUACCUUUUGUAUAAUGGGUCAGCGACUUAUAUUCUG